UUCGCUAAAGGAUCAGUCUAUGUCCUAUCAGCUUGUUGGUGAGGUAGUGGCUCACCAAGGCUAUGACGGGUAUCCGGCCUGAGAGGGUGAUCGGACACACUGGAACUGAGACACGGUCCAGACUCCUACGGGAGGCAGCAGUAGGGAAUAUUGCUCAAUGGGGGAAACCCUGAAGCAGCAACGCCGCGUGGAGGAUGAAGGUUUUCGGAUUGUGAACUCCUUUUGUGAGAGAAGAUAAUGACGGUAUCUCACGAAUAAGCACCGGCUAACUCCGUGCCAGCAGCCGCGGUAAUACGGAGGGUGCAAGCGUUACUCGGAAUCACUGGGCGUAAAGAGUGCGCAGGCGGGUGGUCAAGUCAGAUGUGAAAUCCUGUAGCUUAACUACAGAACUGCAUUUGAAACUGACCAUCUAGAGUAUGGGAGAGGUAGGUGGAAUUCUUGGUGUAGGGGCAAAAUCCGUAGAUAUCAAGAGGAAUACUCAUUGCGAAGGCGACCUACUGGAACAUUACUGACGCUCAUGCACGAAAGCGUGGGGAGCAAACAGGAUUAGAUACCCUGGUAGUCCACGCCCUAAACGAUGAAUGCUAGUUGUUGUGAGGCUUGUCCUUGCAGUAAUGCAGCUAACGCAUUAAGCAUUCCGCCUGGGGAGUACGGUCGCAAGAUUAAAACUCAAAGGAAUAGACGGGGACCCGCACAAGCGGUGGAGCAUGUGGUUUAAUUCGAAGCUACGCGAAGAACCUUACCUAGGCUUGACAUUGAUGGAAUCUACUAGAGAUAGUGGAGUGCCCUUCGGGGAGCUUGAAAACAGGUGCUGCACAGCUGUCGUCAGCUCGUGUCGUGAGAUGUUGGGUCAAGUCCCGCAACGAGCGCAACCCUCGUCCUUAGUUGCUAGCAGUUCGGCUGAGCACUCUAAGGAGACUGCCUUCGUAAGGAGGAGGAAGGUGAGGACGACGUCAAGUCAUCAUGGCCCUUACGCCUAGGGCUACACACGUGCUACAAUGGGGUGCACAAAGAGAUGCAAUAGUGUGAGCUGGAGCCAAUCUCUAAAACAUCUCUCAGUUCGGAUUGUAGUCU
rnacentral:rRNA from 1 species